rnacentral:tRNA from 1 species
UUAGCUCAGUUGGUUAGAGCGUCGGAUUGUGGUUCCGAAGGUCGUGGGUUCGACCCCCACA